AGUCCUCACUGCCCCUACAACAGAUAAUCAAAGUUAGCUUGACAGGCCUAAUUAAUAGAUACAUUUGAUUCUGCUGUUAUUAAGAGUAGAGCGUGCAUACAAACCUAUAUCUUCUGUGCGAACCAGAACUUACAAAAGUACAUACAAAGACCACUUCCAAGUUCCACCUUCUGAUUUCUUCUUCAGACCAAAAGAUAAAAAGGUAAAAAAUUACACUUUACCUACUUUUCUUUUAAUUUUGUGACAAUAUUUUCCUCCUUGUUGCAGUUUCUUCUGUUGGUAAUCUAAUUUUAUACUUCUAAAUGUAGACUACUAAUUUGAAGACCGAUUUUUAAAAACUCUAUGCAUCUUUGCUUUUAUGUUACUGUUUUGACCAUACAUCAAAGUUUACACUAUGCAUCUUUGCUAUUAUGGGUAAGAACAAAUAUGAGUAAUGAAAUAAGGGGUGGAUGGGCUUUACAUGUAAUGCAAGUGGGCGAAACGUUAGAGCAUGUUUAUCCGGGGUAGUGAGUUUCUUGGUGCGUGGGGCCCCACAAAACCCUUAAGGAUCGGUUACAAGAACUACUAAUUAAGAACCGAUUUUAGUGAGUUUCUUACACUGUUCGCG
rnacentral:lncRNA from 1 species